rnacentral:rRNA from 1 species
CCUACGGGAGGCUGCAGUGAGGAAUAUUGGUCAAUGGGCGGAAGCCUGAACCAGCCAAGUAGCGUGCGGGAUGAAGGCCCUACGGGUCGUAAACCGCUUUUGCACGGGGAUAACACCCUCCACUUGUGGAGGUCUGCAGGUACCGUGCGAAUAAGGGCCGGCUAAUUCCGUGCCAGCAGCCGCGGUAAUACGGAGGGCCCGAGCGUUAUCCGGUUUCAUUGGGCUUAAAGGGAGCGUAGGCGGGCGUUCAAGUCAGCGGGAAAAUGGCGCGGCUCAACCGCGCCCCGCCGUUGAAACUGGACGCGUUGAGUGCACAACAGGCAGGCGGAAUGCGUGGUGUAGCGGUGAAAUGCAUAGAUAUCACGAGGAACCCCGAUUGCGAAGGCAGCCUGCCGGGGUGCGACUGACGCUGAGGCUCGAAGGUGCGGGUAUCAAACAGGAUUAGAUACCCCUGUAGUC